rnacentral:lncRNA from 1 species
UUUUACUGUUUGGGGUUAUACGGAGGACAUAGCAUAUCCAACCAAAAUUUAUUUUCACAAGAUGCAAAUGUUAACGCCUCAAUUUUGUAGCGGUACUUUUUUUAACAAUUGACCAUUAGCUCCGAUGAUGACGUUUAUGUCGAAAGCGCUCAG